rfam:Cavia porcellus supercont2_80 genomic scaffold, whole genome shotgun sequence.
AGCACUUUGUGCUUUUAAGUUGUAGACAAAGACUCACAGAUAACUGCUAAACAUAAAUUCUCUUUUGCAAUCCAGAGCUCAUGAUUCAGUAUGAGUUUGGAUACAUAUAAGGCAUGUGAUACC